UGCAGUCGAGCGAGAAGCUCUUUUACGAUUUCUUCGGAAUGAAUAGUUGAGCGGACAGCGGCGCAAGGGAGAGUAACGCGUGGAAGUUUACCCUGAGGAGAGGGAUAGCUGCGGGAAACUGCAAGUAAUACCUCAUAAUGUCUCCGGACCAAAUGAAUUUCGCCUCAGGAGAACUCCGCGUCCUACUAGCUUGUUGGUGGUGUAACGGACUACCAAGGCUAUGAUGGGUAGCGGGUGUGAGAGCAUGACCCGUCUCACUGGGACUGAGACACUGCCCAGACACCUACGGGUGGCUGCAGUCGAGAAUCUUCGGCAAUGGGCGAAAGCCUGACCGAGCGACGCCGCGUGCGGGAUGAAGGCCUUCGGGUUGUAAACCGCUGUCAGAGGGAAGGAAAGCUUCGGCUUGACUGAACCUCAGAGGAAGCACGGGCUAAGUUCGUGCCAGCAGCCGCGGUAACACGAACCGUGCGAACGUUAUUCGGAAUCACUGGGCUUAAAGGGUGCGUAGGCGGCUUUGCAAGUGAGGUGUGAAAUCCCUCAGCUCAACUGAGGAACUGCGCUUCAAACUGCAUAGCUAGAGGGAGACAGAGGUAAGCGGAACUGAUGGUGGAGCGGUGAAAUGCGUUGAUAUCAUCAGGAACACCAGUGGCGAAGGCGGCUUACUGGGUCUCUUCUGACGCUGAGGCACGAAAGCUAGGGUAGCGAACGGGAUUAGAUACCCCGGUAGUCCUAGCUGUAAACGAUGAGUACUGGAUCGAGGAACCUUCCACAGUUUCUCGGUCGUAGCGAAAGUGUUAAGUACUCCGCCUGGGGGAGUAUGGUCGCAAGGCUGAAACUCAAGGAAUUGACGGGGGCUCACACAGCGGUGGAGGAUGUGGCUUAAUUCGAGGAUACGCGAGAUCUUAUCCUGNCUUGACAUGUUUAGAUC
rnacentral:rRNA from 1 species